rnacentral:snoRNA from 1 species
UGUUCUAUGAUGACAUUAUUUGCUACUCUUGAUCCAAGACUGAUGAGAUUGCAACCACCAAAUAUUUAAUCUGAGGCA